CCUACGGGAGGCAGCAGUAGGGAAUAUUGCUCAAUGGGGGAAACCCUGAAGCAGCAACGCCGCGUGGAGGAUGAAGGUUUUCGGAUUGUAAACUCCUUUUGUUAGAGAAGAUAAUGACGGUAUCUAACGAAUAAGCACCGGCUAACUCCGUGCCAGCAGCCGCGGUAAUACGGGGGGUGCAAGCGUUAUCCGGAUUUAUUGGGGUGAAAGGUUGCGUAGGCGGGCUGGUAAGUCAGCGGUAAAAGCCCGGGGCUCAACCCCGGCGAGCCGUUGAAACUGGCUGUCUUGAGAUGUGGAGAGGUAUGCAGAAUGCGCAGUGUAGCGGUGAAAUGCUUAGAGAUUGCGAAGAACUCCGGUUGCGAAGGCAGCAUACCGGCG
rnacentral:rRNA from 1 species